UUUAACUCAUACAUGCAGGGGCAAAAUGGUAAUUAACAUACUGAAGCGGUGCCCUCUCCCUCUUUACCCCCUUUACUUCACUACAACCCAACACCAUUCGAGUUUCAUGCUGCUCUCAUUCAUCUCGAAAUUUUCGUUUUGUCGAGUUGUUCCAUUCUAAAUGUUGUCGAUAUGGUUCGAGAAUCAUAAUCUCUAAAUUUUAGAUUUCUCCAUUUUUCUCUUCUCAAACUGUUUAUUUUUUAGAUUUUUAAGUGUUAAAAGUGUUGCAAACAGAACUCAAAUGAUUAAAAUAGGCAUGACAAACCCUGAAUCAACGAUUACAACUGUUAAUGUUGUUAUCGCACACUUAUCUUGAUCUUAAGGAGGCACCACCAGAAAGUGGUAGGACGACCCUAAAAAGAGACAACACCACAGCAGCUCCUCGCUUUCAUCUCCACCACCAGUAGUGAGUAGAAGUACGGCCAAGGUGAGUUCUCUGAUAUUAGCAAAUGAUGUAAGAAUAGUUUCAUCACUUCCAUCGACACAUAUGAUGACUAAUAUGUAUGUUUAUCAAGUAGACUAGAUCUAAUUGAGCACACUGCAACAAAAGAUAAUAUAUUACGUUGGCCUCUUUUAUUAUGAAUAUCAACAAACACGUUACAAUUCUUUUAUUCUCUUUGUUUGAACAGUUAUGUCCGAGCCAACUUGCAUGCACCUCGACUAUUCCACCAUGUACCUCUGACUUUCCACCCUAUUGUUACAAUCCUUCUUCUGCUUUAUUCAGAUCAUCUAAGAUCUCUUACUUCACCUGUUCAGGAAGUGUAGCAGAUGGGCCUGCCUUUGAAUAAAAGCUGGCCAAAGAUCUAAUAGCUUUCUCUAGCAUAAGAUAUGACUCUUGCAAGUUGAGCAUUAUGUCAAAAAAAUGACCAGAUGAAACAAACUGAGAAAGACAUGGAUGUGGUUCAGUGUCUAAUUUUUCUGCUUCCACUACUAUAACUCUUACUUUGCAUGCUAGCAUAGAUUGAUGCAUAGUGUAUGUCAAUAAUUAUAUAUCGGCCGCAGUGGCGGAGCCAGCAUUUUCACUAAGGGGUUCAUUAGUGAACAUACGAACUUAUCGAUGGGGGUCAACAUCUGUUAUAUAUACAUAAAAAAUAAUUUUAACUAUGUAUAUAUAGCAUAAUUUUUCAACAAAGGGGGUUCGGAUGAACCCCCUACUUGAAGGGUAGGUCCGCCCCAUUCAGCCGGAUGUAGAGAAGCGUGAUCAUGACAGGACUUAAGGAAGAAGCCCCAUCUAACUUCGUGCCAGCAACGUUGAUAGAAGGGGGCAAGUGUUCUUCAAAAUGACUAGCUUAGGUCCAGGAAAGGAAGGUAUUUAUGCUAAUCGAUCAGGUUAUAUUCCAAGAUUUCUGAAACUUCUUCAAGAUAGUACAUUUACCCAAACUCUAAAGCCAUUAUAACCGAUGAGUUAGUAUGAAAGAAGGCAGCAAUUACUGCAGAGGUGCAUCAGCAGGCUUAUUUUCUUCUAUCUUCUUUUCUGCAAUGUGUGCUCUAGCAGCAGAGCGGAACUCAAAUGCAUAAUUGGAUUGGCAGAGUCUGCUUAUUGUAAAACUUGGAUUUUUUAUGGCGCCUCAAACAGUUAACUCUAAAAUGAGGAAACGACACCGCUAUUCUAGCUCUCCUAGCCAAAUAAGUCCAUGAACCAUUUAACAAACAACACAAUUUAAAAUUUGUAUAGGUAGAUGUUUUUCUCCUGAGGUAGUAGUAUGGAUUGCGUACAUCUUACCCUCCCCAGACCCCACUGUGUGGGAAAUCCCACACAGGGUUUGUUGUUGUUGUUGUUGUUGUUGUCGUUGUAUAGGUAGAUGUUUGAGAAGAAAUAACCUCCAUUUUUACUGACACUAGGCAAGGUAACUACAUAUAGCACCUGGGCCCUAUCAACUCUCUUAAUUCUUAGUUUAAUGAAACUAGCUUUAAAUCUACUCAUUUUUCUUAACAAUAUUUUGCAUAUUUAUUUUUUUGGAACUUAGAAUUUACUACUAUGCAGAAAUUAAGUGUGUUGUAUUAAUAUUAACCUAUUUCUAUUGUCUUAGGUGGUUGUUUAAAACUCCGAAUCUGUGGUGGUAUGAUCCUAUUCACAUAGUCUUUGGCUUUUAUCUAUUAUCAUCUAUUGUUUAUUAUGUUAAGGAGGUCCCACCUUGUUGUUUAUGUUACUGUUCUGCCUUACUUUCCUAUUAGUUAACAUGUUUUACUUCACUACUAUUUUUUUUCUUUUCUUUUUCUUCAUCUUCAUUACUACUUUGAUUUGCUACACUUUAGCCUAGGGUCUUUCUAAAACAGCUGCUCUACCUUCAUACGGUAGAGGUAAAGUUUGCAUACAAUCUACCCUCCCCAAGUUCCUUCAUUUCCUAAAAAUGGGCUAGGAACUUAGGUCUUCAUUUUCUCUAAUAUAACAGCUGAAUAAUGCAUCAAAAGUCUCUUUAUCAUUUUUACUUUAGUGGUGCUUAGUUGAAUGAGUUGUGUGGAGUUCUUGAAUGGAAGAUUUUGUGUAAGCUCAAGCUCAUAGAAGAUAUGGCGGAAUGGGAACCAUUCUUGUCAGCAAGGUAGAUGAAAGUACCGUUGAACUGCUUGUCUAGGACACAUGAUAUUGGCUAUUUUAUAGAUUAUUAACAUCUAUUAUUGUGGUUACAGCCUGUUGAAAGUCUAAUUUGAGUUUCCAUGUGUAGGUGUCAACUGAGACAGACAGUGAAUUUAGACAAUUGGUCAUUCAACCCGUCACCAAUGAACUGUUGCAUUAGGCAGAAAAACCAGAAACUUUUGAACGUUCAUAUCCAACAUUAACUUACUCUUGGGUUUUACUGGCAUAAACUAAUGCUCAUGAAUUCUUUCCUAAAUAUGACUGGAAUGCAGGAGAGUGACCGCAUCAACUGUGGUGUGUACAUAUUAACACCAGAUAUCUUCAAUGCUAUUCAAGGAGUAUCCACUCAGUGGAAAGACAGAGGAGUCUACCAACAGACUUUGUACCUUCUCAUCGAGAUUACAAGGCUUUUCAUCCUAAAGAAAGAGCAUUAUAAAAAAAAAAGGAAUAAAAGUGGCAUAAUUUGAGAGUCAUGGUGGCAUGGCAAAGCAAUAACUGAGUAAGAGCACGCAGUACAACAAUAAGAGCGUAGCACUGAAUAAGUGAGAAUCCAUGAAUACAGGUUGUUGUUUUUGGCUUUGACAUUUGGUUUUCAUCAUAUGCGGUUUGACUUUGUUAACAUCUAGCUGACUCAAUGUUAUUAAUAUUUCACAACAAUCCAGUUACUUUGCCAAUAGGUGUUUCAUCGUGAAUGAUCGAGAGAUUGAUCACAGCAACAACUGCAUUCCCUAUUGUAGAAUUUAUAAAUAUUAUUUCUAUCCAUGUAAAUAGAUAACAAUCACUAUUAUAUGUAAAUGGAGAGAAGUAUGCAUUACCGUCCUGAACUUGUUGAGUUUUAUUCAUAGUAUACCUGAACUUUGACUUGUCCUAA